rfam:Fonticula alba strain ATCC 38817 unplaced genomic scaffold supercont2.1, whole genome shotgun sequence.
UGUAACAUAGUCUAAUGGUAUGAUUCUCGCUUUGGGUGCGAGAGGUUCCGGGUUCGAUUCCCGGUGUUCCCC